rnacentral:rRNA from 1 species
GACAGAGGGGGCAAGCGUUGCUCGGAAUUACUGGGCGUAAAGGGCGCGUAGGCGGCUUGGCAAGUGGAUGGUGAAAUCCCUCGGCUUAACCGAGGAACUGCCGUCCAAACUGCUUCGCUUGAGACCGGGAGAGGUGAGUGGAAUUCCCAGUGUAGCGGUGAAAUGCGUAGAUAUUGGGAGGAACACCAGUGGCGAAGGCGGCUCACUGGACCGGUACUGACGCUGAUGCGCGAAAGCGUGGGGAGCAAACGGG